CCUACGGGUGGCAGCAGUGAGGAAUAAUGGUCAAUGGGCGCGAGCCUGAACCAGCCAAGUAGCGUGAAGGAUGAAAGCCCUACGGGUUGUAAACUUCUGUUAUAAAGGAAUAAAGUGAGGCACGUGUGCCAUUUUGUAUGGACUUUAUGAAUAAGGAUCGGCUAACUCCGUGCCAGCAGCCGCGGUAAUACGGAGGAUCCGAGCGUUAUCCGGAUUUAUUGGGUUUAAAGGGAGCGUAGAGGGGUUGUUAAGUCAGUUGUGAAAGUUUGCGGCUCAACCGUAAAAUUGCAAUUGAUACUGGCAGUCUUGAGUACAGUUGCGGUAGGCGGAAUUCGUGGUGUAGCGGU
rnacentral:rRNA from 1 species